rnacentral:lncRNA from 1 species
UUCAACCUCUCGCAUCCCAAUCUUCAAGCCCGAUAAGAAGUCUAAUCUCAUCUCAAUCCCAAACCAAUCCUUAUCAACCUCAUCUCAAUCCCAAAACAAACCUCAAUUCUUCUGUUCAUCACAACAAUAGAGAUGGAUAUGCCGAUCUACCUACAGUUUGUCGUCGACUCUGAGUAUGACGCUGCUAGGCGUCGGAGCGUCUUUCGGCAUCGGUGGUAUGUGAUCGAGGAGAGAGGUGAUCAAGAAACGGCCGCAGAUGAUGAGUUGGGGGAGGAACACUGGAUCGUUAAAAGUGUACAUGAUAGAGUCAGACAUCUGCGUCUUCCCCAUCUAAAUUAUGAUCUCGAUCAUUCCUUUUUCGCCGUCUCCAACUCCCGUUUAUUCUUCGUCGGUGGCUAUACCACCCAUGGACCGGGUAUCCAUGAAGGCAAUGGAAUUCUCCACAUUGACUUACAACGGAGCGACCUCUCUUGGGAGAGAUGCGAUAAAGGGGCUCAAGAGUUCAAAUUUGUGGGUGGGGUGGCGGUUUGCGAUAACGGCGAUUCAAUUUAUGUGCUGGCAUCAACUAGGCAUAGGUUGCAGUUGCUCCGCUUCGGCUGCCGCAACGUCGAAGAAGGGGAGAUUAUGUCCCUCCCUCCGCCUGCUGAUUUUUGGCCAAGAUUCUGUUUUGCUGUGUCUGGGUCCAAGAUGCUCCUGUAUAGGCCUCCGCUCUUGGGCAUGGAAGACGAACCGUCUCAUUUCGGCUACUAUAAUCUGGAAAAUAAAUAUUGGGAAGAGAGCAUAUCCGUUCCGGGCACCAUCCCUGCAAGAAGCUGGGGCUUUAAGCCGUCGGCGCUCUACCGCAUCGUGCUGGUGAAAGAAUCGUUUCUGAUACACUUUGAACGUUUGGGUUCCCCUCCCAAGGUGCCGGACUGUGGUCCGGGUUUGUAUGUUUAUGAUAUUCUGGGUUGUAAAUGGCUCUCCAAACCAGUCCAGGGUCUCCCAAACGAUGACUACGUCCUUCCCUCCGUGGAAACUGAACAGCCUAUCAGGUACGCAUACCUGAUGCAAGUCCGGAGAGAUGUACUGAAAUUGGCUCUUGUUUGGACCAGGGACGGGGCCGACUACGACGACGGCACCGUCAGCGACCAGACUGAAGUUCAUUGGACCAAAUUCAUACUCCGCAUCGAAGACCAAGACAAUAAUCUCCCAACCUUCUACGCUGAAUGCUUGUCUUCUGGAAUCUGUUACGGUGGCAAUACCAGCUUGGCCAAUUGCUCCGCUGGAUAGGAUUGAUGCCUCUAUAGAAUGUUGCAAAACCAAUUUGUUGGUAAAAUGUCACUAUUACAGUAAUGAAUCAGUUUCACCUUCCUUUUUACUUCUUUUUGUUUUUGAUGAACUAUGAGGCCCCGUUUGGUUAGCAAGAAUCUCAAGAUAGAAAAAUAAUUUAUUUUCUUUUCAUACUGAUAUGGAAUGGAAAUGGAAAAGGUUUUGGUAUUUUUGUUUGGUUGAUAUUGUAAUUAAAUAAUUAGUAAUUCAUUUACAUUCCUAUUACACAAUAUUUAAUAAGUCAUAAUAAUGAAAUUGAAAAUUUAAUUUCUAAUAAUACUCUUUUAUUAAUUGCAUAUGUGAUCUAUUUAAGGGAAUAUAAACUUUUUAGAUAGCUAAUUUCUGUAAUUUACAUUUGACGGUGGGAAUGGAAUAAAAUACCAUCCCUCACUAGGUAAUUCAAUUCAGGUUUUAUGGGGGAGUCAAUUUCUAGUCAUAUCUCAUUUUUUGUUUCUUUUAAUUUCCAAUCUUUGUUUACAACCAAACAACACAAUAAAAUGGAAAAUGAAACCAAUUCCAUUUUCAUACCAUCUUUUCCUAUCAUACAAACAGGGCCUGAAAAUAGGUGAUCAUUGGAUGGAAUUAACAAAAUGAUUGGAUAUUGGAGGAGUUUGGAGGAGUGGUGGAAGACGGUGGUGGUUAGGGGUCAUCAUGGGCUGGGUUAGGGCCGACCCUACCCUAAAAUUUAGGGCUUAGGGUAGGGUCAGGUAGGGCUCGGUCAAAGUCAACAAAAUUUAGGGCCGGGUAGGGUAGGGCUGAUGCUUGAAUAUGCAAGCCCUUAUUCGUCCUAGCGGCCCAUUUCGUUAGGGUUAAAAGGGCCGGGUAGGGCCGACCCUUUAAAUAAGGCUAAAUAGGGCCGAGAUGGGCUAAGUCAUUUUUUUUUCUUUUUCUUACAAUUUAACUCAAUCCUCAAUGAUUAUAUUACUUAUAUGUAAUACACAUUAUUUUGUUAUUUAACAUACAUGCAUAUGCAUAUACAUUAUAUUUAACUUCGGACAUCUAUAUAUAAAUAUUAAUCUAAGAGGUUAUACUCAUAUCUCAUGAAUUAUCUCUCGAAAAUCUAAAUCAUCAAAAUACAAUAGUUAUUCAACGAAGCAAAAGAAAAUCAAAGAAAUAAGCUAGAAAAUCAAUUACAAAAAAGAAGAUUAGUUGUAUUAUAUUUAAAAAAAAUAAUAGACAUAUUAAAACAAUAGAAAAAAUAAGAAUUUUUUAGGGCUUAAAGGGCGGGCUUUUAGGGCCGGGCCGGGUUUGACCCUAAAGGGCUCAAUAAGGUAGGGCCGUAGGGUAGGGCCGGGUUUCAUUUGUUUGACCAUUGCCCUACCCUAUUUGAGAAGGGCUACGGCCGGCCCGCCCUAAUGGAGGGCCGGGUAGGGCUUCGGCCCUAGAGGGUAGGGCGGGUUUUAUGGCGGGCUAGGGCCGAAGGGCCAAAUGAUGAGGUCUAGUGGUGGUGAUGCCUAGAAAUGAUCUUUCCUUCCCAAAAAUAAAAAACAAUAAAAAAAUAAGUGAUCUUCCAGCAGUCUAACGCAUAAUUACAUACACCAAUAUGUUUGAGAGUAAAUUUACACCCUCUAGAUUUGUAGCAUAUCAAACCAUUUAUGUGGUUCGUCGUGGAUACGAUCGAAUAUCUAAGGCAUAUUUGAGGCAAACCGGGCUACUUAUCGGUAUAAUGUUGAUUAUCAAAUAUUUUGGUAAUUAAUGAUAUAUUAAUUGUUUGCCUGCAAAGUGACCUUGGAAGGGAUCUUGACGUGUGCAUGCUAGUGAUCAAGAUUUGUUACCUUUGCAAUUAAGGUAUCGUGGUAUAAUUGGGGUUGAUGCAGUACAUAUAUCUACGGCCAAGAAGCAUGCAAGAGAUACAAUUAUAUUAUUAUGAGGAUUCAUUCCUUAUUGGUAUAUGCAUGGAAUGAUCACGUCCAGAAAACUUUUCAAGAGCAAUUAUAUUGCUUAGAAGACUCACGGUGCUAUCUAAUCAAUUAAGGUUUCCUUGCCUUAAUUGUAUUUGAAGAUAUCCACGUCAAGAAGAUCUUCAAGAAUUAUAUAUUGAGGUAAAUACCUUUACCUAAACUUCGUAUCUAGUAUGAUACGUGAACCGAUACAUGCGGUUCAAUUAAGUAAAUAUAUUUAUUUUCUAUUGGGUAAUUACUAGCGGAAUAUUUGCCUUGAUAUGCAAGUUAUUCGCGAACCUAUUCUCUGUAUAAGCGAACGAGGAGAACCCUGACAAUUCAACAAAACUCUGCAUCACUGCAAAUUGGACGCCUCCCCAGUUCUUACUUCAUCUCAAUCCCAAACCAAUCCUUAUCAACCUUAUCUCAAUCCCAAAACAAACCUCAAUUCCUUUGUUCAUCACAACGAUAGAGAUGGAUAUGCCGAUCUACCUACAGUUCGUCAACUUUGAGUAUGACGCUGCUAGGCAACAACUUAACCACUGAUUUGGACGGCGACUUAACGGAUGGACCUAAUUGUGUGACAUUGGAUAGUUAAUGGAGUAAUCGAUUGAAAUUAAAAAUUAAUGGAGUAAACUGUCGAGCGCAUGAAAGUUAAUAGAGUGACCAGUAAUUAAUUCAAAAUAUAUCAUCGUCUAGAUACUAAACUUUGAGACAUAUCCUAUUACUUCCUUUCCUCACAUCCUCAAGGCCCAAACAGCAAAAUAUCCUCAAGGCCCAAACAACAAAAAGAAAAAAGACGGGAAGAUAUAUAUAAGCCAAAACCUAGAUCCCUCUUGGCUUCAACCUCGCAUCCCAAUCUUAUCAAACCUCAAAACAAGGCUGGCUCAUCUCAAUCCCAAACCAAUCCUUAUUAACCUCAUCUCAAUCCCCCAAAGCAAACCUCAAUUCCUUUGUUCAUCACAACCAAGAACAGAGAGAGAUGGAUAUGCCGAUCUACCUACACUUUCUCGACUCUGAGCCUGACGCUCCUAGGCCCGGUGAAAGGCGUCAGACCGGCCCUCAUCAUCGGUGGUAUGUGAUCGAGGAGAUAGGUGAUCAAGAAACAGCCCCAGAUGAUGAGUUGGGGGAGGAUCUCUGGAUCGAUAAAAGUGAACAAGAUAGAGUCAGACGUCUGCGUCUUCCCCAUUUAAUUCAUGAUGUCCUUUAUGCCGCUUUCGUCGCCUCCAAGUCCCGUUUAUUCUUCAUCGGUGGCCGUACCGUUAGGAGGGAGGAGGGUAUCGAUGUCGAUAAUGGAAUUAUCCACAUCGACUUGCAGGACGACCUCUGUUGGAAGAGAUGCGGUAAUUGGGGUGAAGAUAUCCAAUGUGCGAUUGAGGCCGCGGUUUCCGAAGACGGUAAUUCGAUUGUGGUGGUGGCUGAUCAGGUGUUCCGCUUCCGCUGCCACGACGUCCAAGUAGGGAAAGCUUACCCCCUGCGUUCUGAUUUUUGGCCAAGAUUAUUGCUUGCUAUUUCUGGGCCCACUAUACUCACGUAUAAGCCUAGUCGAUCGGACAGCGACAGACCGGAUCAUUUGGGCUAUUAUAAUAUGGAAAAUAAAUCUUGGAACAUAAGCAAAGACGUUACCAGUGGCCCCAUCUUUGCAAAAUGGGCCUUUAAGCCGUCGGUGUUCCGCCGCUCCGUGCUGGUGAGAAAUUCGUUUCUGAUAUACUUUGGACUUAACAGUCCCAGUCCCAUGGUGCCGGACUCUGGUCCGGCUUUGUAUGUUUAUGAUAUUCUUCGUUGUGAAUGGCUCCCCGAACCAGUCAGGGGACUCCGAAAGGAUGGCAUCAUCUUUCCCUCGGAAACUGGAUGGCCUAUCUAUUCCCCAUACCUGAUGCAAGUCCGGAGAGAUGCACUGAAAUUGGCUCUUGUUUGGUCC